AACGAACGCUGGCGGCAGGCCUAACACAUGCAAGUCGAGCGCACCUUCGGGUGAGCGGCGGACGGGUUAGUAACGCGUGGGAAUAUGCCCUUCUCUACGGAAUAGCCAUUGGAAACGAUGAGUAAUACCGUAUACGCCCUUCGGGGGAAAGAUUUAUCGGAGAAGGAUUAGCCCGCGUUAGAUUAGAUAGUUGGUGGGGUAAUGGCCUACCAAGCCGACGAUCCAUAGCUGGUUUGAGGAGGAUGAUCAGCCACACUGGGACUGAGACACGGCCCAGACUCCUACGGGAGGCAGCAGUGGGGAAUCCUUAGACAAUGGGGCAACCCUGAUCUAGCCAUGCCGCGUGAGUGACGAA
rnacentral:rRNA from 1 species